rnacentral:ncRNA from 2 species
GAAACGCCCAAACCAUGAAGUGCUCAAUUCUGAUGCAGCUCCCUCAAGGGAAUCCGGUGAGAAUCCGGAGCGAACCCGUCACUGUAAUUCGGUUAGAGGCACCACUAAGCCACUGGGAAAGCCAAACCUGGGAAGGCGGUGCCUCCUUAUUCCGAUGAGUCAGGAAACCUGCUGCUGGCACAACAGAUAA